CUACUGAGCACUACAGCCCUUCAUUGAUCUUGUCUGAUCUUAGAAUCUAAGCAGAGACAGGACUGGUUAGUACUUGGAUAGGAAGACUGCCUGGGAAUACAGGUGCUUAUAAAC
rnacentral:rRNA from 1 species